rnacentral:rRNA from 1 species
GAUGAACGCUGGCGGCGUGCUUAACACAUGCAAGUCGAACGGAAAGGCCAGUGCUUGCACUGGUACUUGAGUGGCGAACGGGUGAGUAACACGUGGGUGAUCUGCCCUGUACUUCGGGAUAAGCUUGGGAAACUGGGUCUAAUACCGGAUAGGACAACUUUUUGGAUAUUGUUGUGGAAAGCUUUUGCGGUAUGGGAUGAGCUCGCGGCCUAUCAGCUUGUUGGUGGGGUAAUGGCCUACCAAGGCGUCGACGGGUAGCCGGCCUGAGAGGGUGUACGGCCACAUUGGGACUGAGAUACGGCCCAGACUCCUACGGGAGGCAGCAGUGGGGAAUAUUGCACAAUGGGCGCAAGCCUGAUGCAGCGACGCCGCGUGGGGGAUGAAGGCCUUCGGGUUGUAAACUCCUUUCGCUAGGGACGAAGCUUUUUUGUGACGGUACCUGGAGAAGAAGCACCGGCUAACUACGUG